rnacentral:tRNA from 1 species
GGGAAGGUGGCUCAGUGGUAGAGUGCUUGCCUUGCAUGCAUGAGGCCCUGGGUUCAAUUCCUGACUACCA